rnacentral:misc_RNA from 1 species
UUUAUUUCAUUAGAUAUGACAACUUAAACACAUGAGUUUUAAUUCAGCAAUACACUUGAAGCAAAGAUUGACAAGAAACAAAGUAUUCCACUUCGUUAAGAUCUAUGCCACAUAAAUACUCAAAUUGCCAUAAACAGAACAUUGCAAUAGAAAAUACUCUCCAGCAUAAGAUUGCUGAAGAUGUAGAAUCAGCUGAUAUUAAAAGUUUCAGAGUCACCAAAUCAUAAAAACAGAAAUAAAUAAUAACCUAGCAA